ensembl:lncRNA
GGAGAGAUGAUGGAGAGAUGAAGGACAAAUGAGGGAGAGAUGGAGGAGAGAUGAGGGAGAGAUGUAGGAGAGAUGGGGAGAGAUGAGGGAGAGAUGGAGGAGAGAUGAGGGAGAGAUGGAGGAGAGAUGAGGGAGAGAUAAGGGAGAGAUGGAGGAGAGAUGAGGGAGAGAUGGAGCAGAGAUGCGGGAGAGUUGGAGGAGAGAUGGAGGAGAUGGAGGAGAGAUGAGGAAGAGAUGAGGGAGAAAUGGAGGAAGAGAUGGAUGAGAUAUGAGGGAGAGAUGGAGGAGAGAUGAGGGAGAGAUGAGGGAGAGAUGAAGGUCAGAUGAGGGAAAGAUGAGGGAGAGAUGGAGGAGACAUGAGGGAGAGAUGGAGGAGAGAUGAGGGAGAGAUGGAGAAGAGAUGUGUGAGAGAGAUGGGAAGAGAUGGAGGAGACGUGAGGGACAGAUGGAGGAGAGAUGAUGGAGAGAUAGAGGAAAGAUGUGGGACAGAUGAGGGAGAGAUGGAGGACAGAUGAGGGAGAGAUGGAGGAGAGAUGGAGGAGAGAUGGGGGGAGAUGGAGAGAUGAAGGUGAGAUGAGGGAGAGAUGGAGAGAUGGAGGUGAGAUGAGGGAGAGAAGAGGGCAAGAUGGAGAGGUGGAGAAGAGAUGGAGGAGAGAUGAGGGAGAGAUGGAUGAAGAGAUGGAGGAGAGAUGGAGGAGAGAUGAGGGAGAGAUGAGGGAGAGAUGGAGGAGAUUGAGGAGAGAUGGAGGAAGGGAUGAGGGAGAGAUGGAGGAAGAGAUGGAGGAGACAUGAGGGAGAGAUGGAGGAGAGAUGGAGGAGAGAUGGGGGGAGAUGGAGAGAUGAAGGUGAGAUGAGGGAGAGAUGGAGAGAUGGAGGUGAGAUGAGGGAGAGAAGAGGGCAAGAUGGAGAGGUGGAGAAGAGAUGGAGGAGAGAUGAGGGAGAGAUGGAGGAAGAGAUGGAGGAGAGAUGGAGGAGAGAUGAGGGAGAGAUGAGGGAGAGAUGGAGGAGAGAUGAGGGAGUGAUGGAGGAGAGAUGAGGGAGAGAUGAGGGAGAGAUGGAGGAGAUUGAGGAGAGAUGGAGGAAGGGAUGAGGGAGAGAUGGAGGAAGAGAUGGAGGAGACAUGAGGGAGAGAUGGAGGAGAGAUAGCUGAAGAGAUGGAGGAGAGAUGAGGGAGAGAUGGAGGAGAGAUGGAGGAAGAGCUGAGCGAGAGAUGGAGGAAGAGAUGGAGGAGACAUGAGGGAGAGAUGGAGGAGAUAUGAGGGGGAGAUACAGGAAGAUAUGGAGGAGAGAUGAGGGAGUGAUGGAGGAGAGAUGAGGGAGAGAUGGAGAGAUGGAGGUGAGAUGAGGGAGAGAUGGAGGUGAGAUGAGGGAGAGAAGAGUGC